AAUAGGUUCCAUCUCUCCGCUCCUCCUUGUAAUU
rnacentral:scRNA from 1 species